AUGGCCUGCCUGAGGUUCCCUCGACAAAAUGCAACUGUACGAGAGAUAAUUCAAGCCUGCGAAGCGUGCCAGCUGAUGAGGGCAGAGAAGAAGCAGCACUCGGGAACGAGGUCGACGGGAUUGGACCCUGGGUUCACUGCAAUCACGUGCGGCAAGCCACAUCGGAAGAACAGGAAAAAGCGCGAGCAGAAUGGAAGGCGAGUCCUCACCCGUCAAAUCCUUUGAAACUGAAACUCGUCCGCUGGGAGGCCUCCUAAUUCUCCUGCUGAUGGCAGCUCUCAUCGACCCAGGAGCGACCAGUCAUAACCCCCAUCAACCUGCUAAGAUCACAUGGAAACUCAACGACGGGCAAACUCAUGAGCUGCUCAAUGAGACCUCAGGAAUCCACCCUCCAAACACCUGGUGGCCGGACCUGAACUUCGACCUCUCAAGCCUCUUCGCAAAGCAGGAUGUUCUCUAUGAUAAGUACUAUAGAGAUGGGAUAAAAAACCAUAGGUUGGGGUUUUGGGCUUGCCCGGGCUAUGUAAAAAAUAACUGGAAAACCUGUGGUGGCAUAGAAAGCUAUUAUUGCAGGAGCUGGAGUUGUGUGACCUCUUGUGAUGGACCCCAGAGGUGGGAUGUCAGAAACAGAGAUCUAGUUAGCUUCACCUUCAAGGACCGUAGACACCAGGGGCCUCAGGUAACCUGGAGCCAGCCAAUCAAUAUGCGCCCAGUAAGAACAAAGGGAGAGCUGAAAAG